rnacentral:rRNA from 1 species
UACGUAGGUGGCAAGCGUUGUCCGGAUUUACUGGGCGUAAAGCGCGCGCAGGCGGUCAUCUACGUCUGGGGUGAAAGCCCGGAGCUCAACUCCGGGAUUGCCUUGGAUACGGGAUGACUUGAGGAUCGGAGAGGCAAGGGGAAUUCCACGUGUAGCGGUGAAAUGCGUAGAGAUGUGGAGGAACACCUGUGGCGAAGGCGCCUUGCUGGCCGAUUUCUGACGCUGAGGCGCGAAAGCGUGGGGAGCAAACAGG